UUAUACUUGUACCAUCAUCUCUUAUUUACAUGAAGUGUAAAAAGGAAGUGCUUUCCCUCAAUCGAAACCCACUGUGGGCGUUGUUGAGUCGCAGCUGCCUGCAUCAAAGGUGCAAGCACAGCCGCCUUGUAGUAAAGGAGAUCAGGGACCCUAGUGCCUCCCUCAUCAUAGUGUCUACAUAGGUGUUUUAAUGAUACUGGGUUUUUUUUCCUGCCCAUACGAACUUUGUUAAAUCUGUCUGUGCCUUAUUAAAGAAAGACAAGGGUUCUAGUAUUGGUAGUAGGCGGAAAAUAUAUUGUAGUUUAGGCAGUAACAUAAUUUUAAAGGCAGCUGCUCUCCCUACCCAUAAAAUAUACUUCUCUCCAGUCCCGUAUUUGAAGUUCUAUCUCUUUCCAGAUCCUGACAUAGUUAUUAAUAAAGAGGUCCCGAGGGUUUCGCGACAAACAGAGGCCUUGGAACUUUAGGUGCUUGUCUGACCAAUCAAAUUUAUACUUUGACCAAAGAAAUUGGGUGGCCGCUCGAGUAAGGUUAAUUCCCAUAGCUUGGGAUUUUGAUUUGUUUCAUUUGUAGUAAGACACAGCCCCGUAGUCCAUCAGGAGUUAGUGGACUGCUGGUACAGAUGCUAGUGGCUGGGUUAGUGUGAUCAGGACGUCGUCUGCAAACAGACUGAGCUUGUGUUCUUUCUUCCCUAUUUUGAUGCCAUGGAUAUUGGGCGAGGAUCGUAUCAUAGCUGACAUAAGUUAUCAUGCUAAUAUGUACAAAAGCGGCGACAGGGGGCAUGCCUGCCUCGUCCCAUAAGUUAGCGUGAAUCUAGUAGAGGUGAAGCCACCGUUGGAUACCACCGCCGUUGGUCUAUAAUAAAGGCCCAUGACCGGAGAAUGCCAAACUCUACCAGUGCAGAGACCAAGAAUCCCCAGCCCAACCGGUCAAACGCUUUUUCUGCAUCCAGCGAGAGCAGGAGGCCCUCGGUCCCAGCCUCUCUCAUGUGACACAACAGGUCCACCACUGUGAGUGUUAUCUGCCCCCUGGCAGCCAGUCACAAACCCCACUUGGUCCAUCUAACGGAUCACCUGGCUCCCCGACUGGGUACCUCCGUUGAAGGAUGCUCCUAGCACUUCCUGAAGACUCCAAGCACUGCAGCAGACACCACAACCACCAAACCGGAGAAGCAUACGAAUGCUCUCAAGCAUAUGAAUGCUGUAAGCAGCUGAACAGGAAAAGCAUACAAUCAGCUUACACUCCUGGCAAUCAGCAUACAAUCCAAUUCCCCCAAUAACGAGACGACACUUCGUUUUAAGGUCAGAACUGAACUUUUAAUCACACAACCUUCUUUUAAAGCUUUCUCCCAUGCAAGAGAGGGAUUUACAGUAAUUACACAAUACACCAAUCAUACACGAGUUGCCACCCACACAUCCCCUCCCCUUAGUGUGACACAUAAUCCCAUUAUGUAAGACACAGUUCCCCUUGUUUUCUGGAUGUACCCCUAAACCUAGGAGUAUCCCUUUAAAUAUUACAUCCCCUGGUGGCCCUGAUCUGGGUGAGACACAUAUCCAAAAAUCACCCAGAUCAGAUCAGGGGUUCAGGAGUUAUGGGGGUUUCAAGUUUUGUGGAGGUCCCUUUUGGUCAACUGAAACAUGGCUUUCCAGAUCAAACCAGUUCCAGCUAGUCUGGCAGUGUGCCUGGGACAACGCCCUGCUGGAGAACAAUGGGACAGGAAACGGGGGAGGGGUACACCUUCCUAUACACAAUCUAUACACAGUCUAAUAGAAGUCCAUACACGGUGCUUAAAGGGCCAGUAGCCACAUAAUAAAAAUCCAUCAUGCCCAAAUACCCCCAGGGCCAUAGUCACAUGGCAGGAGGCGGGCAAGCAAGCCCCUCCAAAAGCUCAUGGCAAACUCUCUUAAAGGGUUGAGUUUGCUACAUAUCUCCCUUUUCCCAUUGAGACUAUCCAGACUCCAGACCUCCCAAUGGUCUGGUGCUCUGAUAGUCUGCCGGCCUUUCUCAAAAGGUGUAGUUGUCCAGAUGGCCUCCUGCCACCUGUGCCCAGUUGUAGAUCCCGGGUCUUGUGGAAAAACAACCAGGAUGCCUUCUCCCCUGGUUGGACAAAGCUUUUGCUGGGGAUGGCGGAUGCAGUUCCCCUCCUCUAGACCUGGUGGGUCGAGGUCCGCAAAACUUUGCUCUGUGGUCCUCGGUGCCCUUGAUGUAGAUGGUGUGCCAUCAGGAUCUAAGGCAAAAGGGAAGAGAGGGCAGAAGCAGCCUGCUUUCUGACCGGUUGCCAGCUUUUCUUCCUGCAACACUCUCCCUUGUUGUAGGGGAGAACCGACUGUUUCCCCUUCCAAUAAAUGGUCCCGCUGUUGGGAAGGGGAAACAGCCUUCUCCCCUUCCAAUAACAUGCUCAGCCACUCCAACAUCACACUUGGUUGCUGGAGGGGGGGGCAGACUGUCUCCCCCUUGGCUAAAUGGUCCUGCUGUCGGGAAACAGGACACCCCCGGUGGUGCAGGUGCAGAGACUACAGUCCCAUCUGUACUGUUGUGGGGCUUAUUGUCUCCCCUUGGUGGGCUAUGCUGCCGCUGAUAAGGGAGGACGCUGCUCUCCCCUCCCAGUGAAACACACUGCCGCUUGGGAUCUGGGUCAACCGUCGUAAUGUUAGCCAGUAGCAUAUCUGGCGGUAAGCCUUUGCCGUGGUUGGUGAAGUUAAACAGCUUCGUCAGGUAUGGUUCUAGAAGAUCCCCAAAGACCUGGUAAUAUUUGCUUGUAAGGCCGUCCGGCCCCGGCGCUUUGUCGGCAGUCCCGAAAUCGUCUUAAGUAUCUCUGCAUCCGAUAAAGGUGCUGUCAGUGAUCCUGCUUGGUCAUUGGUCAAUUUGGGGAGGGAUACCAGUGUCAGGAAUUCUUGGAACUGUUCCUUAGAUGGUGUCAUGUUUGGUUGGUCAGUCUGUAUGUUUUAUAGUGCCUUGUAGAAUGUCGCAAAAGUCUCGCUGAUGUCUUGAGGUUUGCGUACUAUUUUCAUAUUUGUACGUAUGUGGGUGAUACGUUGUUUUGCCUGUCUGUGUUUGAGCAUAUUGGCCAAUAACUUGCCUGCCCUAUUUCCCUGGUGGAAAAUCUAGAUUUUAGUUUGUGUAGGUGGAGGUUCAUUUUGUGUAGGUUGUCCUCCUCAAUUAGGGAUUUUAGUGCCUGUAUCUUUUUAGCCAGCUCUCUGGAUGCUUUUCGUUUGUUUUGUUUGGUUAGGUAUUCUAAUUGGAGGAGCCAGUCUUACAUUUGUGAUUCCCUUUGCCGUUUUUGUUAUGUCGUCCUCCUUUUAAAAAUGCCUCUAAUCACAGACUUGUGAGCUAACCAUAUAUUGUCUAAGGAAGUCUCCCGUGUCAUUCCUAGUAAAAUAGUCUUGUAGUUCUACCCUAGCAUUCUUAACAAAGUCUACAUCUUGGAGUAGUGAUUCAUCAACCUCCAGUAUCCUUUCCCUUUGUAGGUGUAAGCAUCUCUUAUGUGUAGAAAGACUAGCGCCUGAACCCCUGAUCUGAUCUGGGUGUCCUAUCACGCAUUUGUCUAUUUGAGUCAGGUCCGUAGGCGAGAUGUAAAAGAGAUCCAAUCUCGUGUAAGAGUUGUGGACCGCUGAGUGGGAAGUAUAAUCUCUUUCGUUAUCAUGUAAUGUGCGCCACAUAAGUUGUGAAACUGAAUACGGGACCAUAAAGAUUUGCAGGAGCCCUGUAGCGUCUUCAGUCUUGGUUUUGUGAACUGAGCUGAAGAAUCCAGGCCUGGUUCCAUCCUGUCUAUUUAUUACAUAGCACCUCCAAAAAAUGAGCCUGAUUGGAAUUUGGGAAGUAGGCUUUCGUUAUAGUAUAGGUAAUGGUAAUUUUAUUUACAAUGCAGACUAGUAUUGGAUCUGAGAGUUUGCGCAGGAGAGUAAAUGCUAUGUUAUCGUUGACCAAAAUGCAUAGCCCUCUUGCCUUCGUGUGGGCCGGGGACUUAUAUUGCCUGAUAUAUUGUUUUGAGUAUAAGGAUUGCGGUGGCUGUUUGUUAAAGUAGGUCACUGCCAUUUGGACAAAUCUUUGUAUAGGUUAAGUUUGUGUUGGGUAUUCAAUGCCUUAACGUUGUGUGUGACUAUUUUCAUAAAUCAGAUCUCGGGUGUAUGUGCUUGUGAGUGUCUGUUCUGGCCUUAUCAGAAGUGCUGGUAGUGGGGGAGUGGGAGGGUAGUGGAGGGAAGGGUACAUAACCAUAAAACAUUAUAUACAAAAACAAAUUAUUUACAAACAAAACAGCCCAUAUCCUAUCUCCCAAGGGGGUGGAGAUGCCAUCAACUGGGCCAUGGCAACUCCCUGGGGUCGUGGUAAUUGUGAACCAUUCCAGUGUGUUUAAGUAGUCAGCCCACUGGCUAUGGCACUAUUCGCUGACUGCAUAUAAUGCUUAGGUCCCAUUAACUGCCUGAUAACCAACUAGCCCAUAUAUUCGGUGCCUAGUCUCUUGCCGCUAUACAAACAAAAUUUCCCUUUUUGUUUUUGUGAGAAUCAGUGACAACUUUAAGCGUAACAUCUCCAAGGUGUGGGUCUCCUAGUAUGAGUCCCAGGCCUGUGAUAGCCACUUGGAAUAAUAAGGGAAGAGUGCCUCUAUUAUGGCUUCUUGCCUAUAGAAGUAAAAAUAUCAGCUCCGCCUUACAUGCUAGUAACAGAACUAACAAGUAUAGACAUGCGGGACAACUCUACGUUACCCAAAGGGGUCGCCCCAUUCGGGCUGUAACAGCACGUGCUUCAGAGAAUCAGUUCCUUUACUGGACCUUUUGCCAUUCAGGGGACAGUCUCCUUGGGCGGGAUGCGAGUGGUUUUUAAGGGGGCUGAAUAGGUAUGUCCCAGUCCUGUAAGAUCUAACGUCCUUCUUCCACCAUCUUGAUCGUGUGUAAGGUUUUUCAUUACAAGUAGUUUGGUUGGGAAUCCCCAUCUGUACGGCACGUUUUGAGCCCAAAGAGAUUAUGUGAUUUGCGAGAGUUACCUUCUUUGGAACAGUGUGGCCGGGGAAAGGUCUGCAUAGAGUUGUAGAGCUUUGUAUUCCGCUAGCGGUCCAUUCUUGUGGCUGGCUUUCAUGAUUUGAUCUUCAAUGUGGAAGUAAUGGAUUCGCAUAAGCACAUCCGUAUGUGUUUCUGCCUCCCCACCCUGUGAAUGCGAUCUAUGAUGAGGAAGAAGGUUGUAACGUAAUGGAGCAAUUGCCUGGUUUCUAUGGACUCUGAUAUGACCCUUAUGCACACAUUGUUCCUCCUGGAACGAUCCUCAAGGCCAGUCAGCUUGUCUUCAGAGGUUUUCAGUCUGUGUUCUAUGUGUUGCAUUGCAUCAACCAUGCUAUUGUGGGCCUCCGCAUGCUCUGCCAGUUUAUUCUCUGUGUGAUGUGUGCUCACCCAGAUCAGCCACAUCUUUGGUGAGAGUCGCCACGGUCUCUCGGAAUUGAUGCAUCAUUAAGUGCUUCCAGCAAGGAUUUCAUCUUCAUUUCUGUGAUCAGACCAUCACCUCCCGUCGGAGCUUCGUAUUCCAGGUCUGAGAGCGGAGCCUCAGUCCCCACUUCGGCGCCAUCUUGUUCACUGUUAGGCGGUCUUUUGGACCUGCAGGCUGUUUGUGUGAAGAAGGCAGCCUUGUCUGCUUUUGUUUUAUUUUUCAACGCCAUCUGUCCCAGCAGCUUGUUAACUCACGGUAGAAGGCUUGAGUACCUUGCUAUUCCGCAGUUUUAGUCCCUAUUACCGUCAUGUUAUGCCGAUCGCGUAGGAGCACAAGAUUUAUGCGACCAUUCCCGUUGGCUGUUGGCCACGCCCACCGUUCCUAUACCUUUGUUGUUUUUUUUCCCAAUUUGCCAAUUUUUAUUGGUUUGCAUAAUGUGAGGAGUACAGCAUGGAAGAAGGAAAAAAGGGGGGAGGGGAGAAUUAAUUUAAUCAGUAUAAAAUUUAGGCUCGUACAGAAUAGGCAAUGAAUACAGAUAUAAUAUACAUGUCAUUCACAUAAGGACAUUGUCUCGUCAUCAGGUUUCACAGUUCAUCCAGCACUCUAAACAGGCGCAUCGUAUGCCUGGUACAGACCUAUAGGAGGUAGGGCCUUCAUAUCCCUCACUUCACGUUGACAUUUAAUUGUCAUGAUAGUUCAUUUGGUAGGCGAUCUCCACGAGUACCACAUACCCCAUGCUUUACGGGAGGUUUGAUUGGGAGGGAAUUGUGUUUUCAAGUCCUGCUCAUAUGAGCUCUGUGUAUCCAGGUCAGUGAGUAAGCGCUGAGACACAGGGGGCCUUUUUUCCCCCAGUUUUUUUAGGAAUUACCCUCUGUGCUGUCAGCACAAUGUGUAGUAGCAAUUUUAGUGUGGCCCUAGGUUAGCCCACCAGUAGGUCAAUUAGUAACAGCUGUAGGGGUGCUAGUGGGAUGGAGCACCCAGUUGUUGCCUGUGCAACGCUAUGUACACCUGCCCAGAAGGUUUGAAUGCGUGUGUGACGAGACCAAUCUCGCCGCAUUGCAUUGGAGAAGCCUGGUUGCUCACCUGUUGCCUUUGGAUUAUGGCCCCAUGUUAAAAGGCUUGAUUUUCCCCUGCAAAGACAUGAAAGCCGGGUCAUUCGGUGCUUGCCCUGUUUGAGCGGUGAUACCCCAGAUAGCUAUGCCAUGGUGCCCAUUCGUAUAAUGAAAGACUAUAGGAAAGACUUUGGCUCCAUGGCAAUUGAACUGUAUGUGUGUGCUCUGAGCGCCAUUCAAUAAUAAUGUGCGCUCAGAUCUGAGCUAUCUGGGGAUAUGUUGAAUGUACCUGUUUUGUGCAAUGGCUGCACAGUUAUAUGUUUUUAUGUGUUUUAUUGUCUUUUGCUGCCAUGUGUUCAAUUGAGUUUUGCCUCUGUCCUUGGAGAUAAUUGGAUUACUUCACAAUUAUCUCCAGGAUAGAAGACUCUGUGGAACUGGUUUUGGGCAGAAAAGCCACACUUCCUUUGGUCACAAAGGACUACGAUCUAUCUUUUGAACCACUGGACCAAUUUGGAGGAUUUUGACAUAUGUUUGUAUUUGGAGUAUGCUGAUUCUGAAAAUGUAAAUGUGAUGCAUACUUUUCAAGUUAUGGAUAAUGUGGAAAAAUUGUAUUUCUCUGCUUGUUAUAAUUACAUUACCCAUUGUGUAAGGUAAUUUUAUCACAGGCAGAGGGGAGGAUUUUGUGUGGGAGUGUCGGAGUGUAUUGUAUGUGUUUAUUGGUUGUGUUCCAAAACCCUGUGGGUGGUACUAAUGUGUAAGAAUGUGUACAUAAGCACAAUAAACCCACAGCUGUGACUGUUCUUGCUUGACCCUCAAAACAGAGCCUUGUCUCGUUCUUGGGGGGAUUUAUUGUAUGCUGUUCCAGUUUGGCUGCUAGGAGUGUAAACCUAUUCGUAUGGUUUUUCCUAUUCUGCUGUUUACAGCAUUCAUAUGGUUUCCUGUUCGGCGGAUUGGUGUUCUGCAGUAGCUGUGCCUGUGUCUCUGGAGGGGAAGAUCUAGUAAACAGCGCUUUAACCCUUUUAUACUGUGGGUGCCGUUACAAUUGGUGGCAAGCGGCAGGAUCGUUCCUACAGCCAGAAGGACAGCUACAGGAGACACCAUUUCUUUGGAUUUUACAAAUUGAGGGCAACGCACGACCCAGUACAGCAACCCUGACAGCACCAGGAUGGAACCAGCAGUGGAGUACGAUGAGGGUGUCAUGGAUGACCGAGAUGCAGUUCGCAAAGGCAUCUGGUACCAGGCACUGGGUAUUGUGGAGUACCAGCGGUGCGAGAGACUCCCCAAGGAAGACCAGCGAUUGCAGAAGCGACUAGCCCUGCUAAUGCCCUUCCUGGGAGAGCAGCCCCUGGAUGAAUGGGUGAAGGAAUUGGAGCUCCGGGUAUGGCAGGAGAUGUGGCCGGAAGAUGCCUACCAGGCGCUCUGGUGGUAUGGGGCACAGUACCUGCCCUGGACAGCCGAGCAUGACAAGCCAGAGGGAGAGGAGUUUGAUGGUCCUGGCUUGUUAUGGGAGGCUUUUUCAGAGCCUGAGUUUGGGAGCCCUACACAAGCCCGGUUCAGUGAUGUCUUGGAGUGGAGGGAGAGCAGAUAUGACUGGGACGACACUCAUGAGAUCGAGCAAGACCUGGUCCACCUAGUGACCCGAGAGAUGGAGCUGGAGCAGGGCUACCAAGAUCUGUUCCACUCCAGUGAGAAGGCUCAGCAGGGAAGCAGAGACCCAGAUCCAGACCUAUUCAGCUGGGUAGAUAUUGCAGAGUAUUAUUGAGAAGAACCCCAGGUGGUUGGUGGAGAUGGGACCGAGGUUUCUCCACCUGUCCUGCAGGGAAUUGGGAGCCCAGGCUCCAUUCCCCAGCGGCAGGCUGAGUUACAGGGGACAGAGACAGUUGGUCCUGUCCCCCAGCGGCAGUGUACCUUGCAGGGAGAGGAGAGCAGCGUCCCCCCUCCCCAGUGGCAGGGUGAGCUACAGGGAUGCUGGGCGGUCAGCUCAGAUCCCCAGCGGCAGAGUAAAUUGCAGGGAAUUGGGAGCCCAGGCUCCAUACCCCAGCGGCAGGCUGUGUUACAGGGGGCAGAGACAGUUGGUCCUGUCCCCCAGCGGCAGUGUACCUUGCAGGGAGAGGAGAGCAGCGUCCUCCCUCCCCAGUGGCAGGGUGAGCUACAGGGAUGCUGGGCAGUCGGCUCAGAUCCCCAGCUGCAGUGUGAAUUACAGGGAAUUGGGAGCCCAGUUUCCUUUCCCCAGCGGGAGAUACAGCAGGGAAUUGGGAGCCCAGUCUCCAUUCCCCAGCUGUACUGGGAGCAGAGACAGUCGGUCUCCCUCCCCCGCGGCUGGAAGUAUAUAUGGGAGAGGAGCUGGUUACCCCCUCUCCCCAGCGGCAGCUUAACAUAUCAGGGUGAGACAGUAAGGCCCACAACCGUGCAGAUGGGACCAUGGUCUCUGCACGUACAGCACAGGGGGUAGGGACGGUCGGUUCUGCCCCCCAGCGACAGGGCUGUUUAGCCAAAGGGGAGACAAUCAGAUACCCUGUUAGUCUGUUUGGAAAAGGGGAGACAUGUGACAAGACCAAUCUCGCCACAUUGCAUUGGAGAAGCCUGGUUGCUCGCCUGUUGCCUUUGGAUUAUGGCCCUAUGUUAAAAGGCUUGAUUUUCCCCUGCAAAGACAUGAAAGCCGGGUCAUUUGGUGCUUGCCCUGUUUGAGCGGUGAUACCCCAGAUAGCUAUGCCAUGGAGCCCAUUCGUAUAAUGAAAGACUAUGGGAAAGACUUUGGCUCCAUGGCAAUUGAACUGUAUGUGUUCAGUAAUAAUGUGCGCUUAGACCUAAGCUAGUUUUGCCUCUGUCUUUGGAGAUAAUUGGAUUACUUCUAAUUAUCUCCAGGAUAGAAGACUCUGUGGAACUGGUUUUGGGCAGAAAAGCCAUGCUUCCUUUGGUCACAAAGGACUACGAUCUAUCUUUUGAACCACUGGACCAAUUUGGAUGAUUUUGACAUAUGUUUGUAUUUGGAGUAUGCUGAUUCUGAAAAUGUAAGUAUUAUGUGAAUGUGAUGCAUACUUUUCAAGUUAUGAAUAAUGUGGAAAAAUUGUAUUUCUCUGCUUGUGAUAAUUACAUUACCCAUUGUGUAAGGUAAUUGUAUCA